rnacentral:rRNA from 1 species
GAGCGGAGAUAUAUGGAGCUUGCUUUAUAUAACUUAGCAGCGAACGGGUGAGUAACACGUAGAUAAUCUAUCCUAUACUGGGGGAUAGCCCGAUGAAAGUUGGAUUAAUACCGCAUAUAGCUAUAUAGUUGCAUGAUUAUGUAGUGAAAGAUUUAUUGGUAUAGGAGGAGUCUGCGGCACACUAGCUAGUAGGUGAGGUAAAGGCUUACCUAGGCGACGAUGUGUAGCCGGUCUGAGAGGAUGAACGGCCACAAUGGAACUGAGACACGGUCCAUACUCCUACGGGAGGCAGCAGUGGGGAAUAUUGCACAAUGGGGGAAACCCUGAUGCAGCAACGCCGCGUGAGUGAAGAAGGUUUUCGGAUUGUAAAGCUCUGUUAGCAGGGAA